CACGUAGGGGGCGAGCGUUGUCCGGAUUUAUUGGGCGUAAAGAGCUCGUAGGCGGCUCAGUAAGUCGGGUGUGAAAACUCCAGGCUCAACCUGGAGACGCCACCCGAUACUGCUGUGGCUAGAGUGUGGUAGGGGAGAUCGGAAUUCCUGGUGUAGCGGUGAAAUGCGCAGAUAUCAGGAGGAACACCGGUGGCGAAGGCGGAUCUCUGGGCCAUUACUGACGCUGAGGAGCGAAAGCGUGGGGAGCGAACAGG
rnacentral:rRNA from 1 species